UUACCUGGUAAACAAGAUGUGGCUAUUCUGCUGGGAGGUAAGAAGGCAGAAGCAGUAAUACUCAGCACCCUCCUGCAGCUAACUCUCAGCUAGUCCCAGUUUACCUGGCAACCACUCACAAAGCCAAGAUUGAGAUCCAGCCAAGAUCAGCUGAGCCUGGCCGAAAUCAACAGAACUACCCUGCUGAGUACGGGUUGGUGCUGAAGGUAACAAAGCUAUCUGUGUUUGAUCAAGAUUCAAACCCUCAAUGUCUGAGAAAAGCAUCAUAUUCUUUAUCCAAGUGGACUUUGUAUAGAUGCAACAAAAUAUUCAUUCAAAUAUUUUCUAAAGUGCCAGGUCGCUUGAAGUUUACUUAUACUACUAUAGAUUUUAAGCUGCAUUUCACUGUAGAUAAUGCAAAGACAAUUAAAAGAACAGACAAUAAGCAGAUAAAGAGGCAUUAUUUUAUUACUAUGAAAGUUAAUAUGUCAUUUGUCACUGAAAUAGACAUGUCUUUAAUUUGCUUGGCAAAAGAGUGAGUAUAAGGUCUGAAUGUUUAAUCUCCCUAAAUUGUUCAUCAC
rnacentral:lncRNA from 1 species